rnacentral:sRNA from 1 species
CACGUUUUUCCAAGGCUCCCUGGAGACUCUGUACCACUCCCGCUUCCUGGGCCGAGCCCAGCUACACAGCAACCUCAGCCUGGAGCUUGGGCCACUGGAGUCUGGAGACAGCGGCAACUUCUCCGUGUUGAUGGUGGACACAAGGGGCCAGCCCUGGACCCAGACCCUCCAGCUCAAGGUGUACGAUGCAGUGCCCAGGCCCGUGGUACAAGUGUUCAUUGCUGUAGAAAGGGAUGCUCAGCCCUCCAAGACCUGCCAGGUUUUCUUGUCCUGUUGGGCCCCCAACAUCAGCGAAAUAACCUAUAGCUGGCGACGGGAGACAACCAUGGACUUUGGUAUGGAACCACACAGCCUCUUCACAGACGGACAGGUGCUGAGCAUUUCCCUGGGACCAGGAGACAGAGAUGUGGCCUAUUCCUGCAUUGUCUCCAACCCUGUCAGCUGGGACUUGGCCACAGUCACGCCCUGGGAUAGCUGUCAUCAUGAGGCAGGUAUGCUAAGGGCCAGCAGUCAAUGGUUGAGGGCUUAUGAAGCAUCAAGUCCACCUCUAACCCCACCCCUCCAUGUUCAGCACCAGGGAAGGCCUCCUAUAAAGAUGUGCUGCUGGUGGUGGUGCCUGUCUCGCUGCUCCUGAUGCUGGUUACUCUCUUCUCUGCCUGGCACUGGUGCCCCUGCUCAGGGCCCCACCUCAGAUCAAAGCAGCUCUGGAUGAGAUGGGACCUGCAGCUCUCCCUCCACAAGGUGACUCUUAGCAACCUCAUUUCGACAGUGUUUGUAGUGUGGUGCACCAGGGCCUUGUUGAACAGAUCCACACUGCUCUAAUAAAGUUCCCAUCCUUAAUGA